GGGUUGUGAGGUUAAGCGACUAAGCGUACACGGUGGAUGCCCUGGCAGUCAGAGGCGAUGAAGGACGUGCUAAUCUGCGAAAAGCGUCGGUAAGGUGAUAUGAACCGUUAUAACCGGCGAUGUCCGAAUGGGGAAACCCAGUGUGAUUCGUCACACUAUCGUUAACUGAAUACAUAGGUUAACGAGGCGAACCGGGGGAACUGAAACAUCUAAGUACCCCGAGGAAAAGAAAUCAACCGAGAUUCCCCCAGUAGCGGCGAGCGAAC
rnacentral:rRNA from 1 species